UUUGAUCAUCAUGUUGGUCUGGGCAACACUUACAUGAGGUGAAGUUGAACUGCCUGACGCUGCCAACACCGCCGUCGCCCUCCACGGGAUGGGCGCUUGUGACGACGUGAGAGGCGACCUUGGGCGCCAGGUUGUGCCAGUCCAUCACGGCGGCGCGGAACAGGCGCGGCGCGGCCACCGGCGACGGGAUCUCUAGGGUCCAGCUGUUGGAAGCCAUGCUGGUGGUGGUCUGGGAUGAGCUUUGGCUCGGUGCCUAGGCCUAGUUUGAUACUAGUAGCUGGAGCUGCUGCUUGUGUUGCUGGAACGAGCGGCAACAAGGUAUUUAAAUAGAGUGCGGUGAGCGCGGGGUUGGUGACGCUUUGCCCGGUUGGUGUCCGGUGGUGACUGGUGAGGGCCUCAAGUUGCUGGGCGAGUCGUCGGGCUUUUCCACAAUGGAUGGCUCUGUCGGUCGAGUGAGCUUUUAGUAAGGCGGGCGUCGAAACACACGUCUUGCACGGUCUUUGUCAAAACACGAGGAUAUAUUCGAGGAGUAUGUUGACGGAAUUGGCGCCACCUUCCGCUUGCACAAUUUGGUCUUUGGUAUAUAAAAGUAGUAUGUAAUGACUGUCAGAGUUCUAGAUAUUUGACUGCAUGUCUGCAUGCUAGGAUAACUUCCAUUCUAGAACGAUAUGAGGCCCUUGACUAACAUGAAUACAUCAUCUUUUGAAUUUAGACAUGAGAAGACUUAAAUUUUGUUUGACAUAACUCAACUUUAUUUUUGAAACUGCUUUUUUUAAAUAGCUCUACGUGCAACUUUCUCGGUAUUAAAAAGUUAUUUUAUAAAAUAGCUUCACUAACAACUUUAUGUAUGGUUGAGAGAGAGAAAUGAAAGAGCGCUUUGAAAAGUUAUUUUUAGCUCUAUUUUUCUGUGAGAGCAUAAAAAAGGUGUUUGACAAAAAACAACAACAACUCACAACAGCUCAUGAAGUUGUUGGUUAAACCGUGUCACAUAGAGCCUCACUUGCUGUCGACGAAAGCUGGUCGGCAGUCUACCUUGGGGUAUACCCACGGUAGUAGUUUAUUGGUAGACGGUGCGCAAACUACGAACUCGACGGUGACGCAAGACUCGGACAAGCUUUUUAUCCAGGUUCGGCCGCCGAGUUGGCGUAAUACCUACGUCCUGCGUCUGGUUGUAUUGAUUUGUGUUGAGAGAAUAUCCUGUCCUAGGGGGGUCCCUUGCCCCUCCUUAUAUAGUCUGGAGGGCAGGGUUACAGAUCUGGAAACUAAUCCUAGUCGGUUACAAUUGUCAUAGAUAGUUCGAUAUCAAUUCCUAUUCUAACCGACUAGAAUCCUGCUUGAUCUCCACAUCUUGCUUCCUUGCGCGAAACCCCAUGCUGUCGGAUCAAGCCUUGAACUCGUCUCGUAAUGGGCCAAGCCUCCUGGCCCAAGUCUAGCCAUAAGGGUAUAGGGGUCUAUCCCCCCACACUUGCUGACAGUGAUGCCACCUUUUUCUUCUUAUCUCAUCCCUUAUGGAUCUUUUAUGAGAAACAUCUUGUUUAAUUUAUAAAAAAACUACCCUUUUUUUAAGUGACUCCUUCUUGCUCUAGCGAGAUCUUUUACCGUUGUCGAAAUGGUAACAUGAUGUACCACUCAACAUGCAUGAGAGGUAAACCACGGUACCUUUAGGACUAAUAGUUUUGACACCUACAGUACCAAACUCAAGUUAUAUAGUUUUGAUAACUUACCAAGGAUAAUAAAAAAAAACUCCUUACAAAUGCCUUCUAUGGCUUCUUAUAGGCACUUGUUAUGAUAUAAGGACACAACUAUGACAAUUAAGGAAUGGUGGGCAUCCUUAUUGAAGGUCCAUUUGGACUUUGGAUGCAAGGGGUAAUUGGUAGUUAGCUAAGAAUUAGCUCCCGUGUAUCUAAAUAGGAAUAUAUGUGCUAAUUUUUUAAUUAGCCAAGUUUUCAGCUAGUCGUUAGGCAAAUAGCUAGCCAACUAUAAACUAAUUUAGACUAAUUUUUAGCCCCAACUAAUAACUAGUGUAUCCAAAUAGAGUAGAAUUGUAAAAGAGAACGAUGGUAGUUCUAGUGUACUAUUUUUAGGAUGUCUACAAAUAACAAAAUAGAAGGGCUUUGCACGGAAAGAUGAAUUGACUCUAAAAAAGAAGGCUUGUGGCAAACCUAGUUUAGGCUUUUCAUUUCGCUGAAAAUACACUGAAAAGUACUGUUCACUGAUUUGUUGUGAGAGAAAAAUCCUGUAUCAUGACUGAUAAAUCUAAUGUCAUUGUUGUAUUCUUUUGUAACUUAAAUUUGCAAAAAUCUACAUUUUCUUUCUUUUUUAAAAGAAAAUGGACAGACAAGAGAGCUACCUUUUAUAUAGUACAGUCAGGCUUCUCCUUACGUGACCUGUCAUUUCUUAAAAAGAAAUGCAAGCUCGGUUGAUAAGGGUUUAGCCGUUUGAGGCCGCCGUUGAGCAUCACUUUUGUCUAAACUCAGAAAAUGAACUAAAAGCUGCUGUGAAGAGAUUUCGUGGCUUAUGAUUUGUUCUGGAAGCUAAAAAAAUAUUACAAAAUUCAAUAAUGAAAAUACAACAGUCAGAAGCCACAAAAUCAGCUUUUAUGUCAAAAGUACAAAAGAUACCGCUCAAACAAACAAGCCCUUAAAUGUCUUCUUCUCCCAGCUCUCUAGUGAACGCUAUAGCUCUUGGAGCUUUCAUAUUUUCCAUAAUAAUUUUAAACACUCUACCAAUAUCUACUGAAAAUGUAUCGAAAAAAUCAAAAUAUCUAUUAGAAAUGAGCAAAAUUAUCGGUCAAACUUGCAUAGAAUUCGAAAACAAAAUGCCCCUAUUCUUCCCACACAUAAAACCAUUGUAUACCCAUUUUCUGUCCCUUCUUCUUUCAAGAAAGUCAUUGUAUACCCAAAUAGUUUUCCAUCCGCCCUAUUUAUAGUCCAGUUUAUCCAGUUUUUGGUAAAACCUAGCCUAGCCCGUAGGAUUUAUCUACAACAGUUUCUAACCCACAGGUACCAGCGGUUUCCCUCCUGAUCUUCCCCAAUCGCCCACUUGCAACACCACGUUGCUCAUUGUUAACUUACUCUCCACGGACCUGUCCGCUCGUCGCGCUCGCCUCGAGCCGUCCGUGCGCUCUGGAGAUCCUAACUUUAUAUAUGGCCAUGCAGCCCAUGGCCCGGUGGCCCGGCCCAUGGCCUGACGAUUUGGCACGGCCCGAGGGACCCUGCCUAGGCCACCACCUAUGCACGCGACAUGGCCCAAGCAUGGCUUUAUCCAACGGUUGGCCCGGUAGCGGCUCGGUGAAAAUAAACUGUUGUGUAGUUGUGACUUAUAUAUAUAUGUGCCGUUAAUUGUUAUAUUGGAGAAAAUGAUGAACAAUUGGUGAAAAUGAUAAAGUGUUUUAGCACUUAGUGAAAAUGUUAAUGAAAAUGAACUGUUUUCGGCUAAACGGGUCGUGGGCUGGCACAAUACGAGAAAAACGCCAUGCUUGACGGGCCGACACGACACGAAAACCGGCCCAUAGGCCGUGCCUUAGGCCGAAGGCUAUGCAUGAAGUCCAUGGAGGCACGACCCGCAGCACGACACUGCAUGACGUUGGACAUAUAUAAUCCUAAAGCAGGACGAUUAGAAGGAAGAAGAUGGGGGUCUCCACCUGUCGUGCAGUGGAAUUCUCGUGCCUCCCCGUGCAUGGCCACGGUGCCACCAUUGACCACACGAGCGCGGCGUGGUGUGCGUCCGAAGAUGUUGUGGCUGGCGUUGAAGACAACCUCGAAGUUGUGCCUCUGUCCUCCAUUGGUGCCCAUGGGUACGCUGUUGAGCGGCGCUGGUGCCCCCUUCGUCGGCACGGGAGGAAGAACACGACCAAGUUUAACGAGUUGAGUGGUGUGGAAACGUCGCAAACCAACACGCGUGGUUUCUCCUGACACGGUUUACCGUGGGCUGAUUCACGGGUACACGGUUAGUAUACAUAUAUAUAGGGGGUGUUUGGUUCAAAAAAUGCAAAUGUCAAUUACUUUGUAAUGAUGGAAUGUAAAAGGUCAAACUUUUCAUGGUUAUGUUUAGUAAUGCAGAAUUUAUUGUCUUUAUAAGGGCCUCUUGAGGUUCUUUUGGUGUGUUUUUUUGCCUCUUGAGGUCAAAAUCUAAAAUAAAGAAUAAUUAUUUUUUUGCUAAAAAUUUUGCAUGCUGUUUAGUUAUAUUAUACAGAACAAUGGACCAAAACCAAGAAUUUUUUAGAAUAGCAGGGGAAAACACCCAUAAUCGCACAACGACAGCAUGCUACAUACCACUCAUAACAUCUCAAGUCCACACACCGCACACUGCUUAGAGCAGCUUUAUUUAUUUUGUACGAAAAAAGGAACAUGAAAGAAAAAAAAUCCAGUCUCUGAAUAUAUCAAAACAUGUAUAAGACCACCCGUGAAGUGCAAUCGCAUCCCCAUCCACAGAUUUAGUUGUAGGCGUCGGGGUUGGCGACGAGGUAGGCCUCGGCACCCUUGAAGAUGGCGGUGACUGCCUCCUUGGCCUUGACUUCCUCGCCCUUCACGUCCACACCCGGCAGCAGCUUGUAGGUCGACUCCACCUUCACCACGCUGCCGCCGCCGGCCGCGGGCUCCACCUUGAUGUGCGACGCCGCGGUCUCGACGGCCACGCCGAUGCCGCCUCCCUCGACGAGCGUCGACUUGCACUCGCACUUGUCCAUGUCCAGGGACUCGAGCUUCUCCUUCAUGAAGCUGAAUGGCAUGACUGCAAGAGCGAUCGAUCCCACGUCAGGCGCUAGCUGUUUGAUCGAUGAUCAAGCGAGAGAACAUCAUGUUGGUCUGGGCAACACUUACAUGAGGUGAAGUUGAACUGCCUGACGCUGCCAACACCGCCGUCGCCCUCCACGGGAUGGGCGCUUGUGACGACGUGAGAGGCGACCUUGGGCGCCAGGUUGUGCCAGUCCAUCACGGCGGCGCGGAACAGGCGCGGCGCGGCCACCGGCGACGGGAUCUCGAGGGUCCAGCUGUUGGAAGCCAUGGCUGGUGGUCUGCGAUGAGCUUUGGCUCGGUGCCUAGCUAGGUCUAGUUUGAUUAGCUGAUGCAAGUAGGUGGAGCUGCUGCUUGUGUUGCUGGAACGAGCGGCAAAAAGGGAUUUAAAUAGAGUGCGAUGAGCGCGGGGUUGGUGACGCUUUGCCCCGUUGGUGUCCGGUGGUGACUGGUGAGGCCUGAAAGUUGCUGGGCGAGUCGUCGCGCUUUUCCACAAUGGAUGGCUCUCCGUCGGUCGAGUGAGCUUUAUUAAUAAGGCGGGCGUCCAAAACACACGUCGUUGUCGCACACUCUUUGUCAAAACACGAGGAUAUAUUCGAGGAAUAUGUUGACCGAAUUGGCGGCUUGCCGCCACCUUCCGCUUGCACAAAUUGGUCUAGGUCUUAAAAACAAGCCAUGUAUGUCACAUUUGGUUGGUAUAUACAAGUAGUAUGUAAUGACUGUCAGAGUUCUAGAUAUUUGACUGCAUGGAUGUCUGCAUGCUGGAUAACUUCCAUUCUAGAACGAUAUGCCUUGACUAACAUGAAUUCAUCAUCUUUUGAAUUUAGACAUGAGAGGACUUAAGUUCCGUUUGACACAACUCAGUUUUAUUAUCGAAGCUGUUUCUUUAGAUAGCUUUAUGAGUAACUUUCUUGGCUGAGCUAUUUUAGAAAAUCAUUUUGUAAAAUAGUUUCACUAACAACUUUAUGCAUGGUUGAGAGGGGAAAAUGAGAGAGCUUUUUGAAAAGUUGUUUUUUAGUUCUACUUUUCCGUGGGAGCAUAAAAAAGGUGUUUGACAAAAGAAAAGAGUAAAGUCCAUCACCAGUCUCUAAACUUGUUUAGGUAUAUCAUCCCGGUCUCUAACUCGCAAAACGAUCGUUUAGGUACCUAAACUUGUUCGGCUAUAUCACUCUGGUCCCUAAACUUGGAAAUCUCAUAUAUAGGCCUUCAAACUUGUUUAGUUGUGUCAUCCCAGUCCCUAAACUUGUUUUUAAGUCUCGUCUGGUUCAAAACGGAACGAAUCUAAAAACUCUAUAAAUAACUCAUAACUUUUUCAUAUAAACUCAAAUAAAGAUAAACUUUAUAUUAAAAUUAUAGCCAACAAUGUGAUCUACAACUUUGUAGUUAAAAAGUUUUUAAACUAAAAUAAUUUAGGGUCUCAUUUUUUUGUAAGUUUAUUAAAUUUUGUGACACUAAAUGACUUCAAAUAAAAAACUUUUCAACUACAAAGUUAUAGAUCACAUUGAAGGCUACAACUUUAAUAUAAAGUUUGUUUUCAUUCAAGUUUAUAUGAAAACGUUAUGAAUUAUUUUUCUAUAUAGAGUUUUUAGAUCGCUUUGUUUUGACCCAGGUGAGACUCAAGACCAAGUUUAGGGACUGAGAUGACACAACUGAAUAAAUUUAAGGACCUAAAUGGGUAAUUUCUAAGUUUAGAAACCAGGAUGACACAUCUGAACAAGUUUAGAGACCGGAAUGAUAUAGACAAACAAGUUUAAUGACCUAAAUGAUCAAUUUAUGAGUUUAGGGACCGAUCGAGGUGAUACAACAGGUGGUGGAUUUUACUAUAAAAACUCACAACAACUCAUGAAGUUGUUGAUGAAGCUGUGCCAAAUAAGGCCUCACUUGCUGACGGUGUUGUCACCCUUUUCUUCUUAUCUCACCCUUUACAGAUCUUUUACAAGAAACAUCUUGUAAACAAAUCGUUGUCACCCUUUUUUUUUUGUUGAGUGACCCCUUCUCGCUCUAGCAAGAUCUUUUGCCGUUCUUCAAAUGGUAACAUGAUGUACCACUCAACAUGCAUGGGAGGUAAAAAAAAUGGUACCUAGGUACUAAUACUUUUGAUAGCUACAGUACCAAACUCAAGUUAUAUAUAGUUUUGAUACCUUACCAACGAUAAAAAAACUCCUUACAAAUGACUUCUAUGGCUUCUUAUAGACACUAGUUGCUAUAUGAUAUAAGGACACAACUAUGACAAUUAAGGAGUGGUGGGGUCUUUAUUAAAGGUUUGUUUGGACUUUGGAUACAAGGCGUAAUUGCUAGUUAGCUAAGAACUAGCUCGUGUAUCUAAAUAUGAGAGUUAAUAGGUGAGUUACUUUUAUAGUCAUUUUUUUUACUAGUCGUUAGUCAACAACCAGUAACUAGCCAUGUGUAUCUAAAUCUCCUACAACUAAAAAGAACAAAACGUGGAUACUUUUUGGUGCGACAUUCUAACGUGGGCCCAUAGUCCUGCCUGCUGCGUUCCCGUGGCCACUCUACAUCGUGCAUGACAUCCCUUGCGAUAUUCAAUUCAAAUCAAGAAUCGAUAUGUCAGGUUCCAGUUUUUAUACGAUUGCCAUAUGAAGCCUUUCCGCCAAAAGCCGUCCGACCACGGUGAAACAAAAAUAAUAAUAAAAUCUGCCCCAAUUCACGGACGGGUGACCAACGUGGCCAUGCAUGAAAGAAAUCGUCUAAAAAAUACUCAACUUUCCAUCUCUUCCGCUCCCUUUUCUUGAGAAAAAUGGUCAACCAUCGUGCAACUAAUCAGGAGACCAUCCCACCGAUCCCGCGUGCACAGCUGGCGGAAGCCCCUCGCGCGGUCACAAUCUCUCCUCAAUCAUGCACGGACAUCGCGUUCCUUAGGCAAAAGCAGAAAUUCCUCUCGAUCAUGCGCCGCCGCAACGAAACAUCUUCCUUUCCUGCCCGACGCCCUCGCUCUCGGUGCUUGGAGAGAUCGAGCCGAGCAUACCGGCUUCCCCUGAAGGCUUGAGACGGACACAGUUGACUGCUUCUUCGUCAUUGAUUGUCGCCAGCAACUGCGCCCUUGGCAUCGGUGUGGCCUUGCAAGAUUGGAUCUUUUUGUUUUCAUCCCAAUCAUCGCCAUGGCGGCCUCCUCCCCCUGAACGAUGAACGCAGCUGCUUCGUCAUUGAUGAUCAGCUUCUGACCCUUCACCAAUCUCUAUCCCCUAUUAUUUGUUCCAUCAUCUGUUCCACUUUCCACGAUUGAUUCAGUACUGGUGUUGCAAACUUAUUUCGAUUCUCAAAAAGCGAACAACCUGAUCGGUUUGGUAAGCAUCUUUCUAUUCCAGGCUAUCGAAGCUCUCAUUAAGCUUUUUGAUUCAGUUUGUGCCAAAGGUACGUUCUUGGCAAAUGCGAGCUGGCACCAUGAAGCAAAUUAUAGCUAUUGGAGUCCAGUAGAUAAUAUCUUGUGUGAUCUCCUUGUUCUUAAAUAGUGUAAUUUAAGAAAAAACUUAUUCAUGUUUGUUCUCUUCGACCUUUUUAGAUACAAGACACAGAUUAUUAUAUUGAUAUCAUAAUUGGUUGUGGCAUUGAGGUGUGUAAAUUUAUGCUUUUCUCUUUUCUGUCGGUGUUUAAACUCUCUUCUGAAUUCAUGCCAUCCAUUGACUCCAGGUGAGAAACACCUCCUGUUGUUUAAUUGUUUUUUUGCUCUUGCUUUCAGUAUGAAUAGUCAAAUAUAGUCAAAACAAUAACCUGGUUCAGUAGUAAUAAGGAAUCAAGCUAUUGCAACACUUCUUGUCAAAAAAAUGCAGCACUUCUAGAGUUGCUACGGGUUUUAAAAUUCUCACUUGCUGCACAUUAGGAGACGAAAUUCUUGGUUUCAGUUAGCAGAGUGACACUUAUCACUGUUAUCUAUAAGGCAAAUCUAACAACAUAGCACAGAUUGUGGACAUCAGUUUUUUUUUAGAAAGUGGACAUUGUGGGCGGCUGAGCGGGCACCUACGGGUGGGCGCGGCCGGCGUCAUGGCCAGCUCUGGGCGGGCGCGGGGUGGGGGAGGGGGGUGAUCAAGGCUGAAUCACAGGAAGGUUUCCUUUUAGGUGCUGUUAGCUUGGUUGGCUAAUCCCACACGCUUGAGGAGUUGCCUCUAGGAGGGGGCUGAAAUCACUUGGAGUUUCUUUUGAAUAUCGCAACGGGUGGAAAUAUUGAUCACGAAAAAAGUGGAAACAAAUAGCACCUUGGCUCUUUCCUUUUGAAUAUAGCAAAGGAUGCUGUAGGUGGGCGACGACGUUGUAGGCUCACAAAAUCACUGUCGUUUGCAAUAACAAAUACCUAUGAUUUAACUAUUUCUAUAUAUUGCUGAUCAUGAAUCUUCCUACAGGUACUUAAGUGGAUUUCUCAUCCUACAAUAUAUGUCUACAUGGAAUAGACCAAAAGCCACACAUAUUUAUACAGUGAGUCUAACACUUUGUCUAAGUUUUUGUAAAAGUUUUUUAACAAAAUAUAGUAUUACCCAUGCGACACACACUAAUAUUUACAUAUAUAUACUCGAAUGUGUGACAGGAUGGUACGAAGAUGCGGCAGAAUUUAUUUGUGGAUUUACUGGCACAUGAAAGAAAUGGAUAUCCGAGAUAUCUUCCCGUCGAUAUUAAACAUUAUCUUAGCCGUAUCACGGAAAGGUCUAUAAAGUAGAGUUUGUGAGCCUACAACGUCGUGCUCUUCGUGACUGUGUUUGAUUUCACAAACAUUGCGAUCCUACAAUGUCAUUUUCAAGUUGUUAUUUAAGUAGAAGAUUCUAAUAUUAUUAUCUUGUUAUGCGAUCUAUGUAUUUUAAAUAAAAAAUGUUAGCUAUCCCGUAGCAACGCACGGGCAUGCUAUCUAGUAGAGUAGAAUUGUAAAAGAGAACAAUGGUAAUUCUAGUGUACUAUUCUUGAGAUGUCUAGAAAUAACAAAAUAGAAGGGCUUUGCACGGAAAGAGGAAUGUACUGUGAAAAACAUGGCAUAACUUAUGCCGAGGCUGUUCGUUCCGUUAAAAAAAUAAGUUGAAAAGAAAGUAAUGUUCACUAAUUUAUUGUGUGAGAAAAAUAUUGUAUCAUAGCUGAUAAGUCUGUAGUGUCAUUGUUAUAUUCGUUUGUAACAUAAAUUUGCAAAACUCUACAUUUAACAUUUUCUCUUUUUUUUAGAAAAAAAUGGACAGACACGAGAGCUACCUUUUAUAUAGUACAGUCAGGCUUCUCCUUACGUGAUUGAGCAAAGCUCGGUUGAGCAAACAAGGAUGACACAUCUGAACAAGUUUAGAGACCGGAAUGAUAUAGACAAACAAGUUUAAUGAUCUAAAUGAUCAAUUUAUGAGUUUAGGGACCGAGAUGAUACGACAGGUGAUGGAUUUUACUAAAAAAACUCACAACAACUCAUAAAGUUGUUGAUGAAGCUGUGCCAAAUAAGGCCUCACUUGCUGAUGGUGUUUUCACCCUUUUCUUCUUAUCUCACCUUUUACAGAUCUUUUACAAGAAACAUCUUGUAAACAAAUGGCUUAACUCUUUUUGUUGAGUGACCCCUUCUCGCUCUAGCAGGAUCUUUUGCCGUUCUUCAAAUGGUAACAUGAUGUACCACUCAACAUGCAUGGGAGGUAAAAAAAUGGUACCUAGGUACUAAUACUUUUGAUAGCUACAGUACCAAACUCAAGUUGUAUAUAGUUUUGAUACCUUACCAACGAUAAAAAAACUCCUUACAAAUGACUUCUAUGGCUUCUUAUAGACACUAGUUGCUAUGAUAUAAGGACACAACUAUGACAAUUAAGGAGUGGUGGGGUCUUUAUCAAAGGUUUGUUUGGACUUUGGAUACAAGGCGUAACUGCUAGUUAGCUAAGAACUAGCUCGUGUAUCUAAACAUGGGAGUUAAUAGGUGAGUUACUUUUAUAGUCAUUUUUUUGACUAGUCGUUAGUCAACAACCAGUAAUGUGGGGGUAUAAACCCCUAUACCCUUACGGCUAGACUUCGGCCAGGAGGCUUGGCCCAUUACGAGACGAGUCCAAGGCUUGAUCCGACAACCUGGAGUUUCGCGCAAGGAAACAAGAUGUGGAGAUCAAGCAGGAUUCUAGUCGGUUAGAAUAGAAAUUGAUAUCGAAUUAUCCAUGACAAUUGUAACCGACUAGGGUUAGUUUCCGGAUCUGUAACCCUGCCCUCCAGACUAUAUAAGGAGAGGCAAGGGACCCCCCUAGGACAUCAUAUUCUCUCAACACAAAUCAAUACAACCAGACGCAGGACGUAGGUAUUACGCCAACUCGGCGGCCGAACCUGGAUAAAAAGCUUGUCCGUGUCUUGCGUCACCAUCGAGUUCGUAGUUUGCGCACCGUCUACCGAUAAACUACUACCGUGGGUAUACCCCAAGGUAGACUGCCGACUAGCUUUCGUCGACAGUGGCGCGCCAGGUAGGGGGUGUGCGUGCAACUUUUCCGGCGAACAAGAUGGUCACGAUCCCAGCUUCCGCGACCGUGCCCGAAGGCCUCACGUUCACCGUCGGCCAGAUCACGUGGACGGCGUGCAGCGGCGGCUUCACGACCACGGUUUCGGAAGAGAUCCAGAUCCAAUCUGAGUUCACGCCGUCUCCGACCACACGCAUGACGGCACCAAGCGCCCGACCACCGUUCCCACUCUACAAGGGAAAGGAGAUCGACUGCUCGGACCUUCUCCAAGCGCUUGAUCGCGCUGACUCCAAGCUACUCGAAGUUUCCCAACUAAUAGAUGGAGUUCUGCGUCGGCCCGACCAAGCUGCUCCAGCGGAUUUUUUCAAAUCCCGCCGGCCAACUCGUGUCGCCACACACGAACGGCUGGGAACGUCUCUGACGAUAACCUCAACCCCCUCAGGACGAUCCGUCCAGCUCAAGAAGGAAGACUAUCCUUGCGGCCUGAACAACUCGACCUCUGUUUACUCACGGCACACCCAAUCCGUUUUCAGCAAGGCGGGUUGGUCGCCGACAACGAACAAUCGUCACCACGUCAACAUGGUGACAAUCCGAGAACUACGGGACGGCCAGGCUUCCAGCACCAACUCAAGCACCGGCUCCGUCCCCACCGAGGUUAUAAACACCGAAGACGAGGACUAUGACCUGGAUUUCCCUUCAUACCCUCCGGGUUUCGACCGAUUCCCGAUAUUCCCCCCCCGGCGAGGGGAUAUUGUGUUCAAUGUCAGCGCCGACGAACCGGUCGUUGAUGGAGAAACAGAUGACCAGAGGCAACUCCGCGAACGGCGUAACGCCGAUCGCGCCCGACGACGCGCGGACGAGCAACAACAAAUGCCACCAAAUAAUCUCAACGAUGCCUUUGACAUGGUCGGGGACCAGCCAGUCUACAAAACGCCAAGCGCCAACGUGGCUGUCGCCAUGGCUAACCUGGAUCGGCUUCCCGACACCCCCGAAUGCCAGGGAGUCCGGACCAGCAUCCGAGCACACCUGAUCGCCGCAAUGGGACAGACGGCCACUCUGCUCAAGAGAGUCUAGGACGUCUCUUAUACGGAAGCCGUCUCCGACCAGACUAAUCAUAGCCGGGCCUCACCCAGCAGGCGUCACCGCAGCCGCUCCCCCGACAACCGUCGAGGGGACUCACGGCGCGACGAUGGUGGUCGGGACGCCGAUGGCCGCCGCAAGCAGAACCGCGUACGCGGCCAAGAGGAAGAUCAACACAGGGAUCUCCGCCACAACAUCCCUUCCAAAGAUGCCCGGGACCACAUCAACAGGCGCGCUGCAGAGAGAGCAGUCCACGAAAACCUGCGCCGCAUCGAGUACGAUGCAACACACGGUCCCCCGGGCCUAAGACAGUUCUCCUCGCACCUCCGCCAGGUCGUGUGGCCCCGCAAUUUCAAGCUCGAAAAACUCAAAAAGUACGACGGCAAGGAAAAUCCAGAGAACUGGAUCACCCUCUAUGACAUCGCCGUCCGAUCAGCGGCAGGGGACGAGCACGUCAUGGCUAACUACUUCCCCGUAGUCCUCGACCAGGCUGGUCAUCAGUGGCUUCUCGGCUUGCCCGAGGACUCCUUCGACUCUUGGGAAGAGCUACGCCAGGCUUUCAUCGACAACUUCAUCGCCACAUGCGAGCAGCCUGGAAACAAGUAUGACCUUGAAAGGAUAAGGGACAGGAAGAACGAACCUCUGCGCGAUUACAUCCGACGAUUCUCGGAUAUGCGCCUCAAAAUCCCGAAGAUUUCUCAUGACGAGGCCAUCUCAGCCUUCAUCAAGGGCCUGCGUUUCCACGAAGCGCUGAGGAACAAGCUGUUGCGUAAGCGUCCAACAACGGUAGCAGAGCUCCUCGCCACGGCCAAAAAUUACGCCGAUGCCGAUGACGCAGAAAAACUAAUCCGAGACGAUGCGAGGGGUCCCGACCAGCCUCCCCGACGAGAUGAUGGUCGUGGUCGCAACGACAGCAGAAAUCACCGCCGCUCCGACAACCGCGAUCAUCGAGAGGGUUGGGAUCGGCGGCGCGACAGCCGCGAUGACUUCAGAGGAAAGCGCCCUCGCGACUACGACCACGAAGUAAAUACGGUCAAACGACCCAAUGGACGACGGGACUACCAAGAAGACUACAACAAAACGUUGAGGGGACCAUGCCAACUACACCCAAAGUCCAAUCAUACCAUGGAAGAGUGCCGCGUCCUCAAAAGUAUCUAUACACGGCGGGCCGCCCAAGACGACUCCGCCAAGAAAAACAACAAGCGCGACGCGCACGACCACGAAGAUGAGGAUGAGGACCAAGAUAGGGACCCCCGACACCAAUACGUCAGCCCCACUGACGUGGUCCACUCCAUUUUCGGGGGCAAGGUCUCCACUGAGUCCAAGCGAGAAAGAAAGCUGUUAAAGAGAGCCUGCCUCAACAUAGACAGCACGGACGGGCUGAUCGCAGACCCGAAAUUUCCCACGUGGUCCCACAGGGAGAUCUCGUUCAGCAGGAAGGACCAGUGGGCCGCUAUCCCAGAGCCGGGUCGUUUCCCCCUGAUUCUUGACCCCUGCAUCAACAGCAUCAGAUUCGAGCGCGUGCUCGUGGACGGGGGAAGCUCCAUCGACAUCCUCUUCCGCAACAGCCUGCCCGCCCUCAAGAUAUCCCCGGCACAACUAAAACCUUACGACGCCCAAUUCUGGGGGGUUUUGCCAGGUCAAAGUUCCGUGCCUCUCGGACAGAUAACAUUGCCUGUCCAAUUCGGCACACCCGACCACUUCCGGACAGAGUUCAUCAACUUCGUAGUCGCGGAUUUCGACGGGACCUAUCACGCCAUACUGGGCCGCCCAUCGCUGACAAAGUUCAUGGCAGUCCCGCACUACUCAUACCUAGUCCUUAAGAUGCCCACGGAGAAGGGUGUCCUAACCAUCAGAGGCAACGUCUACACUGCGUACACCUGCGAAGAAGAAAGCUUCAAGAUCACCGAGGCAAUUGACCUCUCAAUCCGCAUGGCGGAAACAGCAAACCAAGCCGCACAGCUGCCUCCCGACCAGCUCCGAUUACCCGAACAGGCGACAGCCAGGAAGAACUCAAAAUCCAAGGAGUACAAAGAAGUGCAGCUGGUCGAAGGCAACCCCGAGAAGACAGCCCUCAUCGGGGCCAACCUGGAUCCAAAAUAGGAAGACGCGCUCGUCAGGUUUCUAAGGGACAACGUGAGCGUUUUCGCAUGGAAACCCGCAGACAUGCCCGGUGUCCCACGAAACCUGAUCGAGCACUCCUUAAAUGUCUCGAAGACCGCAAGACCAAUCAAGCAAAAACUGCGACGGUUCGCUCGUGACAAAAAGGAGGCUAUUAGGACAGAAAUAACACGGCUUCUAGCAGCCGGAUUCAUAAAAGAAGUGUAUCACCCCGAUUGGCUCGCCAAUCCGGUUCUUGUACGCAAAAAGAAUAAUGAAUGGAGAAUGUGCGUUGAUUACACUGAUCUCAACAAACACUGUCCUAAAGAUCCUUUUGGUCUCCCUCGCAUCGACGAGGUGGUCGACUCAACGGCCGGAUGCGAACUCCUCUCCUUUCUAGACUGCUACUCUGGUUAUCACCAGAUCUCGCUAAAGGAAGAAGAUCAGAUCAAAACAUCCUUUAUCACACCCUUCGGCGCAUACUGCUACACGACCAUGUCUUUCGGACUCAAAAACGCCGGAGCCACUUAUCAAAGGGCCAUCCAGCAAUGCCUCCACGACGAGAUUCGUGAUGACCUCGUCGAGGCCUAUGUGGACGACGUGGUCGUAAAAACAAGGGACGCGAGCACCCUAAUCGACAACUUAGACCGAACCUUCAAGGCACUUAAUAGGUACAAGUGGAAGCUCAACCCCAAGAAAUGCAUUUUCGGCGUUCCUUCCGGUCUACUGCUCGGCAACGUUGUCAGUUGCGACGGCAUACGACCAAACCCUUCAAAAGUAAAGGCGGUACUCGACAUGCGACCACCGAAGAACGUAAAGGAUAUCCAAAAGCUAACAGGAUGUAUGGCCGCCCUCAGUCGCUUCAUCUCAAGGCUAGGAGAAAAAGGCCUCCCUUUCUUUAAACUGUUAAAAGCGUCGGAAAAAUUUUUUUGGACAGAAGAAGCCGACACCGCAUUCAACCAGCUUAAGACCUUCCUCACUUCACCACCUGUCCUUACAGCCUGGAGUUUCGCACAAGGAAACAAGAUGUGGAGAUCAAGCAGGAUUCUAGUCGGUUAGAAUAGAAAUUGAUAUCGAAUUAUCCAUGACAAUUGUAACCGACUAGGGUUAGUUUCCGGAUCUGUAACCCUGCCCUCCAGACUAUAUAAGGAGAGGCAAGGGACCCCCCUAGGACAUCAUAUUCUCUCAACACAAAUCAAUACAACCAGACGCAGGACGUAGGUAUUACGCCAACUCGGCGGCCGAACCUGGAUAAAAAGCUUGUCCGUGUCUUGCGUCACCAUCGAGUUCGUAGUUUGCGCACCGUCUACCGAUAAACUACUACCGUGGGUAUACCCCAAGGUAGACUGCCGACUAGCUUUCGUCGACAAGUAACUAGCCAUGUGUAUCUAAAUAGAGUAGAAUUGUAAAAGAGGACGAUGGUAAUCCUAGUGUACUAUUCUUGAGAUGUCUUGAAAUAAUAAAAUAUAGAAGGGCUUUGCACGAAAAGAGGAUGUGAAAAACAUGGCUUAUGCCGAGGCUGUUUGUUCGGUUAAAAAAAUAAGUUGAAAAUAAAGUAAUGUUCACUAAUCUAUUGUGUGAGAAAAAUAUUGUAUCAUAGCUGAUAAGUCUGUGUGUCAUUGUUAUAUUCGUAACAUAAAUUUGCAAAACUCUACAUUUCUCCCUUUUUUUUAAAAAAAAUGACAGACACGAGCUACCUUUUAUAUAGUACAGUCAGGCUUCUCCUUACGUGAUUGAGCAAAGCUCCUGCCAUUUCUUAAAAAAAUGCAAGCUCGGUUGAUAAGGGUUUUGCCGUUUGAGGCUUCCGUUGAGCAUCACGUUUGUGUAAACUCAGAAAAUAAACUAAAAGCUGCUGUGAAGUGAUUUCGUGGCUUUUGAUUUGUUCUGGAAGCUAAAUAAAUAUUAAAUAAAUUUAAUAAUAAAAAUACAGCUACAAAAUCAGCUUUUAUGUCAGAAGUACAAAAGGUACCGCUCAAACAAACUAGCCCUUAGGGGGGCGUUUGGUUGCCUACACCAGUCCUCCUGAGCCAGGCUCUCCGCGUGCGAGAACAGACAUUUGUUUGGUUGGCAUAUGUGCCGAGCGAGGCUACACGCGUGCAAAAAGCCUCUCGCAGCCAGGCUCUGCUGAAACGCAGAAAUCGGCCGUUUUUGUUGGGCCUGGCUCACCUCAUGCGAGCAAGCACUGAACGAUGCAUGACGUGUGAGAUAGAGAUACGUGAACACGGUGAACCAAACAGAUGCUGCUGUUGGCCUAGCUGUAGUGAUCCAAGUAACCAAACAAGAUGCUAUCGCAUACAUAGAGCCUGGUCAAAGUUGGCCUGACUAGCUCUGUGCGAGCUAGGCUCUACCGAGCAACGAACCAAACAGUCUCUAGAUGUCUUCUUCUCACUGUGUGAAAAAAUGGCAUUACAGACGCGCCUUUACUGAUAUCACAGAUGCUCCUGAGUGCGUCAGUGAUAUAAAGUCUGAUAAAUAUUUAAUAAGACCUUAAUACUGACGCACUUCUAACAUCCGUAUGUAAGUAACACAUAGACACGUCAGUAGUAAAGCUUUUUCAGCGACGCCUAUCUAGAACACACGUCAUUAAGGUCCAGCUCGUCAGUACAAAAUUCUAACUGCAGACGCUUCUUCAGGAAUAGGGGUCUGUAGUAAGGAUUAAGCCACAGACGCAUUAUCCAGAGACGCGUCUACAGUAUGAAUUAAAUUGUAACAGUACCAUCGGCAUAUCUCUGUACUAAAUACCUCAAUGAAACGACAUAAAUACACAUCAACAUCUCAUUAAUUAGUACACAGCUUUAACACAAUCAAAUACAGAUCAAAGUUUAAUCACUAAAUUAAAUGUGUAGCUCUAAUAAAGUCACGUUACCUUAUGGCUGGCUAUCGAAUAACUUAUUUUGUAGCUUGAUCAAAACUGGCUCGUGGUCACCAGCGCACCAUGUGUGUCCAUUCAUCCAUGGCAGCUUAGGCGCGUGGCUUUGGCUUUGUGUCUCCCACCUCUCUAGUGAACGCGAUAGCUCUUGAAGUUUUUAUAUUUUCCAAAAUAAUUUCAAUUUUAAACGCGUACUAAAACAAAUUCAGGGUUACUGAUACAAAAUAUGAGAUCGGGUCGUAGAAAAAAGUGCCGAGAGAAAAACUUUUAGAAUAAAAAUAUAGAAAACUUUUGAAGAUGAUUUCUUUUUUUACUCCUCAUGUUAAUCUAGGAGUUCAUAAACAUGAUAUUUUGGGGAAUAUAAUAUAAAAGAUCUCUUGGAGAUGCUAUCUUUUCUUCCACCUCUCUAGUGAACGGUAUAGCUCUUGAAGCACAAAUCCAAUUCUACGGACGUUCAUUCAUUCUACCUCUUGAAGCUUUCAUAUUUUCCAAAAUAAUUUCAGUUUUCAAGACAUAUUCACUGGAACAGCCUCCCAAUAUCUAUUCAAAAUGUAUUCACACGAAAAAGUAAAUAUAUAUUCCAAAUGAGCAAAAUUCCUUAUUUGGUCAAACUUGCGUAGGAUUCCAAAAGGGUUUUUUUGAACGGUGCCAUUACAAUUUCAAAGUAUUUGAAAUAUGCCAUUAUAAUUCAGGUAUCCUGAAGCGGACCAUUACAAUUCUUGCAAAAUUUGAAAUAUGCCAUUGGAUACGGUAGAAGGACGCUUGGGCCUGCUUGCAAGCCGACGUGGCAUACGGUCGACCGUAUGCGCCCGUCGCCGUGAGCCAUCUAAACGGCGCGGCAAAAAACGCCGUCUCCACCCCGCCCCUGACUCAUUCUCGCUCUCCAUCUCUCUGUCUCUCUCGAGCGUAACCCUAGGCGCGGCGGCGGCGGCGUGGCGGCGGCGGCGCAGGGGGAGGCAAUGGAAUAGGGGCGCAUGUCCAUGGCAGACGUGCCCCCGUGCACGGCGCAGCGCAGGGCGCCGCGGAUGGGGGAUAGCAACGAAAGGUAAUGUUUUGUCCUUCCAGAGCACGAAUACGAGUGCAUUAGGUCUUGAUCUGUUGAUUGGCAUUAGAUAUUGAUGUGAUUUGGUUGAUGCUAGGGUUCCGCUAUUUUCUUUAGAAAUUAAAGUGGAAGCAUUCUGUUGGAGAGACUCUUUGGGUAGGAAAGCUUACACAAAGGGCUCUGUAAUUAAGUGGGAUGUGGAGAUUGGCUCGUUUUCAUUUGAUGUACUGAUGGCCAGCUUGCGCAAUGCUGUCAAUUGCUCUACUACUCAGUGUCCAGUUGCUUGGUUCUAUGAUAAAAGGUUGUCUCAAGAUGUCAUGCUAGAAAAUCAAUUCCAGAUUAAUGAUAUGUUUGAGAUGUAUAAGGAGGAGAUGCAUUGCCACAUUGUCGUAGGGGUAUUUGAUCAGUCUGUUCCCACUAUUGAUCAAUUUGAUGAACUAGAUCUUCCUCCUGACACUAGCACUGGCAACCCAGCCAGUACUGACAGUUAUGUUAACCAGCCCACAUUUGAGGCAGAUGUUGCACCAGAGGCUGAAGUUGAGACUCAACUUGAGCCUGAUAGGGAACCUGAUAUGUUUGAUAACGAUGAGGAGUAUGUGGGUUGUGAUGAUGAGGGCAUGUACAUGCCAACACCACCAACACAGCCUCCUAGUAAUUCACCUCCACAUGCUUCUCAUGAUGCUGAAAAUGCUGAUGCUGAUGCUGAUGCUUUUCCUGUUGAGGCAGAGGUCACUGAUGCAGACCCUGAAGAGAUCAAUAUCAUUCAUGACCCAGAACAUCCCAAGAUUGUAAAGGGGGAGUUAUUUCCUGAUAUUGUUUCAUUCAGGAAAGCUAUCAGGCAUUUCUCUGUUACUAAAGGCUAUGUGUUAGCUGGUAUCAAAACAGACCCAUCAAGAUUUAUUGCAAAGUGCAAAUCCGAGGGAUGUCCUUGGCGCAUACAUGCAUCUAGGCUGCAGGGUAGAAAGACAAUACAGGUAACUGUCUAUUCACUAGUUCCUUUGUGCAAGUUUUAUUUUUUCUUUACCUGACAUGUUUCGUAUGCACAGAUCAAAGUACUGCCUGCAGAAGAUGGCAUCACAGUCUUGGUGUGCAGAUAGGCUGGCAGAUUGGAUAAAAAAACAUCCAACAAAACGUGCAAAAGAGUGCAGGGAGAAGUUGGAAGAUGAUUAUGGCAUCAAGCUGAAGUAUUCAAAGGCUUGGUCAGGUAUGCAGUGCGCAUUGGAUCAAAUCCAUGGUAAAUAUGAGGAAAGUUUUCAACUGCUAUUCAAUUGGGGUGCUCAAAUUGAAAAGGUAUCUCUUGGUAGCACUGUAGUGGUAGAGGUUGACAAAAUUGGUAAGAAGAACAGAUUCAAAAGAAUGUUUGUUGCUCUAAAGCCUUAUGUAGAUGGAUUCUUGGCUGGUUGUAGGCCUUUUUUGGGUAUAGAUGCAUCUUGUUUGAAUGGAAAGUAUAGAGGUCAGCUAGCUUCAGCAACCAGUGUAGAUGGACAUAAUUGGUUGUAUCAUGUAGCUUAUGGCAUUUUUGACAUAGAAAAUGAAGACAACUGGACAUGGUUCUUGCAACUUCUUAGUAGAGCAAUUGGGCCUGUCCCAAAUCUUGUAGUUUGUACAGAUGCAUGCAAAGGCGUGGAGAAUGCAGUGGGUAAAACUUUUCCAACAGCUGAGAAUAGGGAAUGCAUGAGACAUAUGUACCAAAACUUUUAUGAAGCACUAUUCUAGUGAUGUAUUCACAGACCACCUUAUCCUACAGCUAGAAGUUACACUCAAGAAAAAUUCCAGUGGCACAUGAAUCAGAUACAUGAGUAUGCUCCUCAAGCUAUAGAAUAUAUUGAGAAUUACCACAGCAGGAUAUGGUACAGGUGUGGGUUCUCAGAAAGUAGCAAGUGUGAUUAUUUGACCAACAAUGUGUCAGAAAGCUUCAAUGCACAGGUGAAGCACCUCAAAGGUUUAUUAUUACAUGAACUGGUAGAUGUUGAUAUUUGGUAACGCAAUAAGGAAAUAAUCCGCAAGCGCACGGAUAUCGGUGAGCAUUUCACCCGGGAGGUUUUCCAGAGUAUCGUAUUUAUAUUUUUACCACUGGGAGAAAGGGUGCAUCUGACUAACCAAAUCUAUUGCUACUAUCCCUUUAGGCUACAAAGAAUGUUUCUCAAUGUGAGUGAUAUAUAGAGAAGACUGCAACCGUAGUCUCGUUCUAACCUUGGUAAGGAUGAUCUACUGUUCUAUUGGGGAAGCUUACGGAAUCUAGACACCACAAAGGAUGUUUGACCCGCACCUAUAAACCUACCCGUCCUGCUAACAAGAUAUGGGAUACAAAGGUAACUCGGAAAUGUCACGUUCCUCGCUACUACCACGGUCCAGCUAGUCAGGGGAUAUCUAUGAGUACCCUAGUGAAAGGUCCUAAUAUGGCUAGAGGGGGGUGAAUAGCCUAUUUAAAAAUUCUACAAACUCACUAGAGCGAGAGGUUAGUAAAUAACAAAGCGAAGCCUUUUGCUCUAGCUCUAAUGGGGUGUUUGCAAGCCACCUGUCCAACAAUUCUAGUUGAUAUAAUCACUAGACACACAAGAGCUAUGUCACUACUUACACUAGAAAGCUACCUAAAGUUUCUAUACAAGUAAGUAAGCUACUCUAGUUUGCGGGAAUGUAAAAGAGAUGGUUUUAACUUUAUACCGCCGCAUAGAGGGGAUGAACCAAUCACUAAUAUGAAGUCCAAUCACCGGGAGAAAUCCAAUGAACAAUCACAAUGGAUACACACAAUUUUACUCCCGAGGUUCACGUGCUUGCCGGCACGCUACGUCCCCGUUGUGUCGACCAACACUUGGUGGUUCGGUGGCUAAGAGGUGUAGCACGAACCUCGUCCUCACUAGGACACCACAAGAACCUACCCACAAGUGAGGUAGCUCAAUGACACGAGCAAUCCACUAGAGUUACCUUUCGGCUCUCCGCCGGGGAAGGUACAAGACCCCUCACAAUCACCGGGAGAUGGCCACGAACAAUCACCAACUCGUGCUAAUCCUCCUCCGUUGCUCCAAGCCGUCUAGGUGGCGGCAACCACCAAGAGUAACAAGAAAACCGCAGCUAGAACGAUCCCCAAGUGCCACUAGAUGCAAUCACUCAAGCAAAUUCACUUGGAAUCACUCCCAAUCUCACAAAGAUGUUUAAUCUAUGAAGGAGAUGAGUGGGAGGUGUUUGCUUAGGCUCACAAGGAUGUUAUGUAUGUUAGAAUGCCAAGAGAGUGAGCCCCAAGCCGGCCAAACACGUAUUUAUAAGCCCCUCAAGCAAAUAGAGCCGUUGGCACUUUCACUGGGCAAACUGCGGGGUCACCGGACGCUCUCAAAGGGGCACCGGACGCUCAACACCAGCGUCCGGUGCUCCAACGUCAGCCAUGUGUCGCCUUUUGAAAAACUCGUGUCAGAGUCUAACGGUCACCUGCAGUGCACCGGACGCUAAGCAAGUUAGCACCGGACGCGUCCGGUGCACACCGGACUCAUGCGCAGAGAGCUCCGCAAACUCGCACGGUCACCGGACGCAAGCCACCGGACGCACCCUGAGCAUCCGGUGCUCACCGAACUCAUGCGCAGAGAGGGUUGCAAAACGCCCUCACACCGGACGCUAACCACCGGAAGCGUCCGGUGCUCACCGGACCCAUGCGCAGAGAGGGUCGCAAAACGCCCACACACCGGACGCGCACCACCGGACGCUCAAGCCAGCGUCCGGUGCCUAUCGUCCGGUGCCUUACCCUAGCUGGGCCAGGCACUGUCUGCACCGGACGCUCAGACGCAGCGUCCGGUGCUCCAGAAGCCAGCGUCCGGUGAGUGUUUUCUCAGCGAGAAACACUCCCACGACUACUCCAAAUUUCCUACCGACGCAAUAGAAAAUAUGCAUUUUAUUUUCUCGAAAAGCGCCGAAUCCCACCUCGCAAGCUCGGCGGGAGGGAGAGAGGAACCCAUCCUCUCUCUACGUACUCUUCAAACUCCACCUCCUUCUCAAAGUGUGCCAACACCACAAGUGUAAACCAACAAGUGUGCACGUGUGUUAGCAUUUUCACAAUCAUUUUCUUAGAAGGAGUUAAGUUAGCUCACUAGGUUCUAAAUGCAUACACAUGAACAAUGACACCUAGUGGCACUUGAUAACCGCUUAGCCAAAGAAUUCCCCUCUUUAUAGUACGGCUAUCUAUCCUAAAUGUGAUCACACCCUCUAUGGUGUCUUGAUCACCAAAACCAAAACCCUAAGCAAUACCUUUGCCUUGAUCUCCAUAGGGUUUUGUUUUUCUCUUUCUUCUUUUCCAAGUUGAGCACUUAAUCAUCUUGUGGUCAUCACCAUGAUCAUCAUGAUCAUCACUUGCUCCAUCACUUGGCAUGUACCAACCUCAUUAAGUCUACACACACUUAGUAUAGAGGUUAGUACUAGGGUUUCAUCAAUUAUCCAAAACCAAACUAGGGCUUUCACCUAGCCUAAACACCACGUUUACGCUAGCAAUAAUUACUCUAAUACUCAACCGGAAGAGGAUUAAAUUAAACUCAUAAACCAAAGAACAAUAAAACAAGAACUUACUAGAAUUAGAAGUCGAAUUACUGAAGAAUCUUAGAAGCAAGCCUCGGGUUAGAAGACUUGAUCCCGCAGGUACAACUCGGAGUAGACACCGACAGGUCGGCCUUCCUCCGAUCUACACCUCCACUCUAUCUCUCUCAAUCUAGUAGAAACUAGAAGAUCUAUUUCUACUUACAUUGGUUGCUAAGCCUAAAAAAAUAUUAUUUAGAGAAGAGGUUUUCCUUCGAGGGCACCCCUCAAUCUCUAUGAUAACUUCUUGUCUUCUCCAGGGGCCAGGGGGGUCUCCUUAUAUAGUCCUCCUCCUCUAUGCGUUUUUGGGUCGGUAGGCGAUGUGGUACUACAUUAUCCUUGAUCCAUUAGGUCGGUGGAACAUCGUGUGCGAAGAGAGUCCCGAACGGAGUCUAGGACACGGCGGGCGCCCAGGGAAAGAGGGCGGGCGCCCUGGGCCUGGCCCCUUUCGGCCUCUGCUUUCUUCCCGUGGCUUCUGGAGUCUUCUAGAUGGUAGAAAAUUACGCGGUGCGUUGAUAUCUCUAUGUAAUCCCGACAUGUGGGCCUUUCUUCCGUAUUUUUUGAUAACCCCCUGCAGAAAUAGACAAACACCAAAACUCAUGGAAUUCUGUCAGAUAAAACCCUAAGUCUAGAUGUUGAUUUCAUUUGGAUCCUUUUCUUUGUUUAUUUGAUAAUUAAAUUUGAUACUUAAGGACCGUCAACAGUAGACAGAAUUAGAGAGCUUAUAAUGGAGAAGAGAUAUUUGAGGAAGAAAGUUGCUAGGCAGUGGGAAGAUGGAAUCCUCCCAAAUGUGAUGAAGGAUUGUUGGGUAUUCUUAACAUCAUUACCAAAAGUAGACUAAGUUCUCUAAAUCUAGUAACGGUGCCAAAAAUGCCAAACCUAUCCCUCACACCACUUAAGCCAAGUUGUCAUCCCCAGCAUGACAUGAGAGACGCGGUAUUGAAAUAUGCAAUUGCUCUUCUAAAUAAAUAAUGAAUGAGAUCUGCAAGCGCACAGAUUAAUACCGAUGUAGCAUUUUAACCGGGAAGUAUUCUAGGUAUCGUUAUUUAUAUUUUUACCACUGGGAAGGGAUUAGCAAUCAUCACUAUUGAUUACAGAAUAGAAUAUGAGAUUGAGCAUCUAUCAUUGCAUGUAUAAUUGAGAACAUUUAUCUAACUCUUCAUACAGGGAUAAGUGUCACAUAAAAGAUAUAUGAAAUAAUAAUAGUGACAAGGAUAACUAAUCUGAUCUAGCCACAUAAUAAAUAUGAUAAGCACCUCAAUUAGAUACUCUAGAAAGUCAUUAGCAUGGUAUUAGAACGAACUAUAAGAAUAUUCCCUAAGUUAUUCUCAACUAUAUAGUUUAGCAUUAUCAUAGUUAGUGCAAGCAUACUUAGCAAUCAUUGUGAGACAAGACUACGCCCAUGCAUAGUGAUAUUAGCAAGGAAUAUGAGAAACAUAGCAAUCACUCCCCUAUAAUAAUGUUGCUCUGCCAGCCCAAUACACGAGAGGGGGACUAUAUAAGAAUCAAUGAAGCUGUCACUAUCACGAACCACCCCACGAUCUGGCAUAUUGGGUACAAUCGCAGAUAAAUAUGGUAUAAGCACCACGCCUACACAAUAUCUAUCAUUUACCCAUGGAUCCGAUGGAUAAACGCUAUACGAUCCUAAGCAUGUAUAUAGAUCGAAUCUAACUAAGCCAAGUACAUAACUAUGAUAAACUAAGAACAAUAUAAUCUUGAAUAUAAGCAAGUAGAGCAAAGUCAUAAGCAAUAUAUUGAAGUAGAACAAAGUCAUAUUUAUAAUAUUGAAGAACAAAGAUAAUUAGAAAGUAAUUAGAAGCACAAUUAGAGAAUUACCAAGAAUCCUCUUGACAGAUCCGGAAACCAAUCGAAGAUUGACUCCUUCUAGUUCUAAUCCUAUGUAGCUAUGCUAAUCUAGAUAUCUAAUUGAUGUGGUGGCUCUAAUCUUGAUCAGAGGCUUCUUCUCCCUUGAAGAACAAUGAAUUAGGGUUGAGAGGCUCCCCCCUCUAGGGGCCAGGGGGUCUGGUUUUAUAGUCCCUUCAAGUGAAUAUGGGCCGUUGGAUCAAACCGACAUAGAUUGUAUGGUUUAGAUUCAUCCUUUAGGUCGGUGGAAAUCUCCCACGAAGCAGAGUCCUGAUUGGACUCAGGAGGUGGGCGGGCGCCCUGAUCACCUGGGCGGGCGCCCAGGGUCACGCCCCGUUUCGCCUCCGCUUCGGUUUCGUGGCUUCUGGAGUCUUCUAGAUGUAAGAUAAUUGCGCGACACGUUAAUAUCUCUAUGUAAUCCCGACGUGUGGGCCUUUCUUCCGUAUUUCCUGAUAACCCCCUACAGAAAUAGACAAACACCAAAACUCGUGGAAUUCUGUCAGAUAAAACCCUAAGUCUAGAUCUUGAUUUCAUUUGGAUCCUUUUCUUUAUUUAUUUGAUAAUUAAAUUUGAUACUUAAGGACCAUCAACAAGGAUCUCAACCUGAUCAGUACUCAACUCAAUGUAGUCAAGGUCAAAGUCAGUGAUGAUAACACUGCUGAAGUUACAAUCCUGGAGUGGGAGAAGCAAAGGAGGCACACUGUGGACCUAGGAAACCACAAUUGUUCCUGCAGGCAGUGGCAAGUGACUGGAAAGCCAUGUAAGCAUGCUUUGGCUUGGAUACUGUCAAUCCCAGGGAUGAGAAUUGAGGAUUAUGUACAUGAGUACUAUUCAGUUGCUAGAUUUAAGGCAGCUUAUGCUGAUAGGAUUGAGCCUAUCCCAGACAAGGAUGAAUGGCCUGUUGUCAACCUUGGUUUUAAAGUGUAUCCUUCAUUGCUAGGCAGAGGUCCAGGAAGGCCAAGGGUUGUAAGAAUUAGAGGGACUUUUGAGCAGAGGGCCACGAAGAAGAAAGUUAGGUGCAAGAGAUGUGGUGACUUUGGACAUUUUUCCAAGACCUGCAAGUUGCCAGAACUAGGUGAAGAUGGAGAAAGAGGACAAGGGUCUUCAAAAAGGUAUUAAAACUAUUGUCUAACCAUUUUAUUAUUUUUUCCUAUGUACUAAGAUCUAACCGGCUAUUGUCAUCUCAACGCAGAAAGAGGCCGACUCAGCAAGUGUCAUCACAGGAAGCUCCAACGCAGGAAGUACCAACACAGGAUGAUGCUGGACCUUCCCAGGUGAAGAAGACCAAGCCUCUGAAGAAGGUUACAACUAAGAAGAAGAAGAAGACACCAAAGAAAACAAAGCUGCAGAGGGAAGCAGCUGCACCUGGGAAGGCUGUUAUCAGCAGCAUCAGGCACCUGAUCUAUGAUGCUCCACAGGAUGCUGAUCUAUGAUUCUCCACAGGAUGCUGAUCUAUGAUGCUCCACUUAUAUGGCUUUGUUCUGAACCUUACUAUGUAAUGAGGCAUUAGAAUGCCAACUUGGAACUUGUAUGGCUGAUGCUGCUACUAUGUAAUGAGGCAUUAGAACUUGCCAACUAUUUUCAGUCAUGUGAACUCUACUUAUGUUAGUUUGUACUCUCCUGUAUUGUGUCAAUUAUCAUGUGAACUCUACUUAAAAUGUUAAGAAAACAAGACAAAGUGCUGCAGAAAUUCUAAUAUAUUUUGAAGCUGAAAUUCUAAUCUAUUUUCAGUGACAAAAGGCAUAGGACAAUGCUGAUCAUACUCAUCGAAGAAACUCAGUGACAAAAUGCUUGUUCUUUCAUUGCAAAUACACAUAAUUACAGUCACUUCAUCAUCUGAGAAAAACCUACACCUAGCAGUACACCCACAAGGACACCUACAACAACAGAUACAUCCAACACAAUUUGCAUUUUCCCCUUCCUGCCCAAGUCCAGUGCUGGACUCUGAUUACUAACUUGACUAGGAACAGCAACAACAUCUCUGUCUCCAAGUUGCACCUUCAUUUUCUCAAGUUCAGUGACAACUCUAUCUAGAGUUUGCUUCAUCUCCUUGUCCCGUUGAUUCAAAUCAUCAUUAGGAUCCCCAACUGCUGAAUGAAGGGGCAACUGCAGCUGAAUCUCUUUCUCCUUUUGCUUCAUAAACCAUGCCUCGUACUGCUCCUCCGAACGAAUCCAGCCACAAGUUGUUGGAUCACCCUGUGCAAGCAACACCAGUCAAAUUGAAAACAAAGGAAGCACAUUCAAGGGCAUAAACAAUGCAAAUAGUUACCUUUACGUUGUUUGGGCACUUGAUGAAUGCGACAUCCUUUGAGUGCUCUUGCUUGCUCACGAUUCGGAUCAAAGGAACAUUGCACACUGGGCAGUUCAGUAGGGGGCACUGCACCCUUCUACUGCCAGCAGCGGAAGAGCUCGAGGCCAUCUUCAUCUGCAGCGCCGCCGUCGGGAUCGUGGCACCGGAAUCGCCGCCGCCGCGCCUAGGGUUACGCUCGAGAGAGACAGAGAGGUGGAGAGCGAGAAUGAGUCAGGGGCGGGGUGGAGACGGCGUUUUUUGCCGCGCCGUUUAGAUGGCUCACGGCGACGGGCGCAUACGGUCGACCGUAUGCCACGUCGGCUUGCAAGCAGGCCCAAGCGUCCUUCUACCGUAUCCAAUGGCAUAUUUCAAAUUUUGCAAGAAUUGUAAUGGUCCGCUUCAGGAUACCUGAAUUAUAAUGGCAUAUUUCAAAUACUUUGAAAUUGUAAUGGCACCGUUCAAAAAAACCCAUUCCAAAAUAGAAAGUCCUUUUCCUUCCCAAACAGAAAACCAUGUUUAUCUGCCAACAGUUUCUAACCCAUGGGUCCCACGGGUGCCAACGGUUUCCCUCUUGAUCCUCCCCAAUCGCCCGCUCACACCACCACGCCGCCACGCCGCUCAUCGUUAACUUCCUGCCCUCCACGGACUUAUCCGCUCGUCGCGCCCGCCUCAAGCUAAUGACGAAUCUAAUGAGUAGAAGAGUGAGGGCAUGUGUCCUUAAGGAAAAAAAACGUCUUCGACCAGAAAUCUCCACCUGCCGCGCUGUGGAGUUCUCGUGCUGGGGCUCCUCCCCGUGCGUCGCCACGGUGCCGUGGCUGACCACACGAGCGCGGCUUGGCAUGCGUCUAAAGAUACAGUGGCCGUUGUUGGAGAUGACCUUGAAGCUGUGCAUCUGCCAUUCUGCCUUCCAUUGGUGCCUAUGGGGUACACUGUCAAACAGCGCUGGUGCCCCCUCCAUCGGCGCGGGAGGAAGAAGAUGACCAGGUUGAGCGGUGUGGAACCGUCGUAAACGAAUCUGCGCGGUUUCUCCCAACACGGUUGACUGUGGGCUGAUUUACGGGUACACGGUUAGUAUACAGCAUCGUACAUACCACUCAUAUAUAUAGUCAUAUAUAACAUCUCAAGUCCAUACACGGCACACUGCUUAGAGAACCUUUAUUUAUUUUGUAUGAAAAAGGGACAUGAAAGAAAACCAUUCUCCGAAUAUAUCAAAACAUGUAUAAGGCUGCCCGUGAAGUAGAAUCGCAUCCCCAUCCACAGAUUUAGUUGUAGGCGUCGGGGUUGGCGACGAGGUAGGCCUCGGCACCCUUGAAAAUGGCGGUGAGUGCCUCCUUGGCCUUGGCUUCCUCGUCCUUCUCGUCCAUGCCCGGCAGCAACUUGUAGGUCGACUCCACCUUCACCACGCUGCCGCCGUCGGCCGUGGGCUCCACCUUGAUGUGUGACGCCGCGGUCUCGAUGGCAACACCGAUGCCGCCGCCCUCGACGAGCGUGUUCUUGCACUCGCACUUGUCCACGUCCAGGAAAUCGAGCCUCUCCUUCAUGAAGCUGAACGGCAUGACUGCAAGAACGAUCGCGCACGUCAUUCGCUAGCUAUUUGAUCGAUCGAUCGGGCGACAACAUGUUGGUCUGGGCGACUGGGCAUGCUGCGGACACUUACAUGAGGUGAAGUUGAACUGCCUGACGCUGCCAACGCCGCCGUCGCCCUCCACGGGGUGGGCGCUGGCGACGACGUGGGAGGCGACCUUGGGCGCCAGGGUGUGCCAGUCCAUCACGGCGGCGCGGAACAGGCGCGGCGCGGCCACCGGCGACGGAAUCUCCAGGGUCCAGCUGCUGGCGGAGGCCAUUACUUCAGUGAUCGGCCGAGAUAAACUAAACUAGGUGCGAGCCGAAGCUGCUUAGGUGCUUGUGCUGCUGCAGGUGGUUUUAGGAUUGCGCUUUUGCUUGCGUUGCCAUUAGAGUGGCGGACGGAGGACUUUAAAUAGGCGGUUAUGGCGGGGUUGGUGGCGUCCCGUGAGGAUGAGACGCUCGGGAGUCGUCGUCGGCGGCUCUUCCCACUUUGGCUUGGCACGGCACCGUCGCUCGUCGGUCCAUGUAGUUCAUUAUAAUAUACUACAUGUUGCCGGGGUUGCGGACAAACGUCUGGAAACGUGCUGCCAUUCCGUCAGCGUUCAACCCCUGAAGGUGUAGAAUAUAUAUCGUCGAAUUGGCGAGCCAAAUCAGCUUCCAGAUCAAAAAGCAUGUACUGUAAGCGUGGGUUGGUGUCAUUAGAAACGAGAAUUAUACCGUACGUGAGCGUCCUGACUACUUGCAUCACUCUUUUGGUGUCGCACUGUCGCUAUUAACUACUAAUAAUAAACAUAAUCCUGUAAAUCCACCUCUUUUUAAUCAUCCUAUAAAUACCUCUACUGGCGACAGCAUGGACAAAGCUCAUACGGAAAAUAACAUAGUGGUGGCCAAAGCUGUAUGGGAAAAUAUUGAUUGCAGACUAUCAAUUGGGUGCAAAAGUACUCAGUGUAAACUAUUAAUUAAGUGCAAAUAUAAAGACAAUUGCUAUGUCACAGUUGAUUGUUUUAGCCUCCGUGAAUAACUGAUUUCCUGGCCGUUUGAUUCUUAUCACGUGGGAUGAAAGAAAGACCAACAACGCUGCGGAAGCAGAGCGUGAGGAAGGACCGAAGGAGCCACCAGGGGUCCACUGAUGUCGCCAUUAGCACCAAGGAGAGGCCGUCGUCAGAGUCAGAGUCAGGGUUGUAGAGGGCUAUCACGUCCGUUGUCGAGGUCGGGGUGGGGUAAAGAUGGCAAUGGAUAAUUACCCGCUGGGUAUAUGCUACCCAUACCUUUACCGAUGAGAAAAUAUUUUACCCGUUAAUUUACAUAUCCAUGUAUGGGUAAGAGUUUUUUCCCAUACCCUUACCCACGUGGGUAACGGGUAAUCCAUGAGUUUUCUUACCCAUGAUUCUAAGAAUACUUGUAAAAAAUAAAUACAUAUUUAAAUAUUCUAGACUCCCAAUUUCAGCCAAAGUAUCAUAAGUCAUUAAUAAAAUCAUCAAAUAUACAAGCUCCAUGAAUACCUAAUCAAGUAAUCUAAUAGAUAAAUCCAUCAUUACUAGACAACAAGUGACAAAAUUUACAAGUUUCCGUGUUGUGCGGCCGCCGCAAGGAGAUAGGGGAAAGGUGAGAGAGCGGAUGUGUGAGGUACUAAGGUGAGGGCCUAGAGUUUGACAGCAUUAUAUAUGAUUUUUAUUGGACUUGGCCUGUGUAUGGUGAUUUUGGUCCAUAAUUCUAACUUAUUGAAUCGGGUCCAAUCCCAUACCCUUACUCGCUUUACCCGCUGGCUAAAGCUUUUUCCCAUUAUCUUACCUAUGGAUAAAAAAAAUAGUCAUACCUUUACCCUAAUGAAGUAAUUAACCAUCGGAUUUCGAGUAAAAAUUGACAUCUUUAAGGUGGGGAAUGGCCGCCGCAUCUACCAUAGCCACCUGCUUCCUGAGAUCCAUGGGGAAAGAGCCCGCCGCUAGCCGAGGGUGAGGAGCCGCCGCCUCUGUGUGGCCAACUUCAUGUCGGGCCUCUACCGUGGCGGGGGUAGCUCACAGAAGGGAAGGGAUAAAGUUGGUGAGGGUGGGUCCCACCAUAAUUGGUGAAUAAUUUGCCAUGUAUUUCUCUAAUAUCUACUAUCUAAAGAAAUAUUUUGUAUUUUUUUCUGAAAAGUUUGGCAUAUUUGUCUUUGAGAUAUGUAAUCUAUAAAAAUACCUAAGAUAUAUCACUAUAUCCAAUAAAUGACACUAUGUGUUAGCAUUUUCUCACUACAUUUUCAAAGGUGUUAACACACUAGAUUCUAAUGCAUAUGCAUUAUCAACAACAGCUAGUGACACUUGAUAAACCGCUUUUAACCAUAAUUUUCCUCUCUUUAUAGUACAGCUAUCUAGUCGACUAGUCCAAACCCAAUUAUAUCCUCUAUGGUAUCUUGAUUGGCGAAACAAGAAUGGCCCUAUCACAUACCUUUGCCUUAAGCUCAUUUUUAUUUUUCUCUUUCUUUUUUUCCAAGUUGGAGCACUUGAUCUUCACACUUGACCACCUCCAUCAUCUAUAGAUGCCAUAAUCUAGCUGGUGUGUACCAAUCCUAUUUCCUAUCUUAUAUACACCUAAAGCAAUGGUUAGUAGACUUAGAUCUCAUCAAUUAUCCGAAACUAAACUAGAACUUUCAUGUAGUGACACAACAUCUACUUUCUCUCACCCUUCCUCUUUCAUGGAAUGCAAGCAUUCAUACAUCAUUAGUAUGUUGUAUGUAAUGAGUCUCUCUAGCACAAACACCGACUGUUCUUCCGAAAUCACCUUUGGGAAAAAAUAAUCCACAGUCUGUUUGCCACCGUCUUAGAAGCAAUCUUAUAUAUCAUGUUACAUAGACUGAUGAUAGGCCAAAACAGCCCGCUCGACCAACUUCUCCACUUUUGUGAUCAAUACUAUUCAUGUGCUAUUUAUCACAGAAGGAUCAUCCUCGCCACAUAAGUCCUAGUGCCGCUAAAAAAAAUGAGCAGGAAAACCAUCUGGCCCCGGCGUUUUUGUCUUAAACAUGUGAGAAAGCUUAGUCCUGAUCUCCUCCUUUCGUAUACAAGGCGAGUGUCCUGACAACUACUUGCAUCACUCUUUUGAUGUUGCACUAUCGUUGUUAGCCUUAUCAUUAACUCCUUUCCUCUCUAAUCUCUAGAAUUAAGCAAAGAUUUGAAUGCUUUCUCAAUUUACCAUCAUAUAAUUAUUAUAUUAUAAUAUAAUCAAAUAAAUACACCUCUUUUUAUUCAUCCCGCAAAUAUAUCUAGUGGCAAUGAGUAUGGAAAGAGCUAAUACGAAAACUAUCAUAGUGGUGGCCAAAUACAUGAGAAAAUAUUCAGUGCAAACUAUAGAUUGGGUGCAAACAUAAACCCUUUAUAACAUAAUUAGAUGUUUUCUUAAAAAAAUGCCCACUUCGCCACUAAAGUUAAGAUACAAAGAAAUGGGGUGGGGGUGUGAUGCAAAGAUAUUGGAGAGUGAAUCUCUUCUUUCAAACCUCCCAAGAAACUAGUCACAAAGUAAACAUAAUCGUAGGAGCUAUUGUACAAUAGAAUUUGAUGCGCAGGCUGUUCAAGCUACUCAAAUUACUGUGACCGAACUAGUCUACUGAAGAUGAUUGUUUCAUACAUAACUCAUAUUGGUCACGAUUAAAAUAAUUACAAACCGCAUCACAAGAGCAGGCCAAGAUGUGAAACAACCACACAACUCUUUAAAUUGUAACCAAGUGGCAGCGGUCCUCCAGAACUCAAUGCAACAGAGCUAGGCUUCAAUGUCUCGCUGAUAGAGUACAUCUCAAAAUAGAUCUUACAGUGAUCCUUCCACAACCAUAAAUUGUCACCAUCAAAUUUGGGGAAAUAUGAUUUGGGCAUCGGACCAACUGGAGAUGUAUAAGAAUAUGAAUGUUCCAUCGGUCCACCUAUCAUUCCCUUGUACUUGCGUGCCCGUUAGUUAGCUAUUAUGUUCCUCUUUUUUAUUGGAUCCCAAACACCUCUGCUUCUAGACCAACUUCCAUCGUCGUCUACACAUAUCCCAUGGAGUUAGAGCAAGUUUAAUUAAUACAGUCCACUUGCUGACUGUAAGGUUCCUUACAGCCUUCUUUCAGCCCCACCCAUACAAUAGUUAGUUAUUCAUUAUUAAUACAUGACUCACUUAUCUCUCUUACAAAGUUUUCAGCUUACAACAUGCUUCUCUUCUCUCUCCUCCACCUCAGUAUUUAGCCAGCUUACAGCCCACUAUAAUACUUGCUCUUAUGACAAAUGCCUACUUCUCUCGCCUUUUUAGUGAACACUAUAACUCCUGGAGUCUUCAUAUUAUUCGAAAAAUAAAUUCAAAUUUCAACAAUGACACAUUCAGCAGAAUAAAAAGUCUCCAAAUUUCUAUUAAAAAAGAGCAAACAUUCCUUAUUCAGUCAAACUUGCAAAGGAUUUCAAAACAGAAGACCUCGUAUAACCAUGAGGGUGUAAGUAAUCUCACAAACAAAGCAUCACAAACCACUUAUAAUCUCAAGUCCAUACACGGUACACCACACACUGCAUAGAGCAACUUUAUUUUGUUUUGUAUGAAAAAAGAGGAAAACUCCAGGAAAGAAAAAAGAAAAUUAAACCCAAACUUCAGGAAGGGGAAUCGCAUCCCAAUCGACUGAUUUAGUUGUAGGCGUCGGGGUUGGCGACGAGGUAGGCCUCGGCACCCUUGAAAAUGGCGGUGACUGCCUCCUUGGCCUUGACUUCCUCGUCCUUCUCGUCUACGCCAGGCAGCAGCUUGUAGGUCGACUCCACCUUCACCACGCUGCCGCCGCCGGCCGCGGGCUCCACCUUGAUGUGCGACGCCGCGGUCUCGAUGGCAACACCGAUGCCGCCGCCCUCGACGAGCGUGUUCUUGCACUCGCACUUGUCCACGUCCAGGAAAUCGAGCCUCUCCUUCAUGAAGCUGAACGGCAUGACUGCAAGAACGAUCGCGCACGUCAUUCGCUAGCUAUUUGAUCGAUCGAUCGGGCGACAACAUGUUGGUCUGGGCGACUGGGCAUGCUGCGGACACUUACAUGAGGUGAAGUUGAACUGCCUGACGCUGCCAACGCCGCCGUCGCCCUCCACGGGGUGGGCGCUGGCGACGACGUGGGAGGCGACCUUGGGCGCCAGGGUGUGCCAGUCCAUCACGGCGGCGCGGAACAGGCGCGGCGCGGCCACCGGCGAUGGAAUCUCCAGGGUCCAGCUGCUGGCGGAG
rnacentral:lncRNA from 1 species